UGCCAGCCGCCGCGGUAAUACGAAGGGUGCUAGCGUUGUUCGGAAUCACUGGGCAUAAAGCGCACGUAGGCGGUUCGUCAAGUCAGGUGUGAAAUCCCUCGGCUCAACCGGGGAACUGCAUCUGAUACUGGCGAGCUCGAGGAUGGUAGGGGUGAGCGGAACUCCAGGUGGAGCGGUGAAAUGCGUAGAUAUCUGGAGGAACACCGGUGGCGAAGGCGGCUCACUGGACCAUCUCUGACGCUGAGGUACGAAAGCGUGGGGAGCGAACAGGAUUAGAUA
rnacentral:rRNA from 1 species